AGUCCGCCUGAAAGAAAAUGUGAAGUUGAAAGAUGUGACGUGGUUUCACCCGAGGUGCCCGAGAAUACACAUGGAUAUCGGACGAGGCAACGAAGAGCCGCAUUGCCUUGGUAGCAUGACGAAUGGGGGUCGACGUCGGUCAGUCGUAAAAUAGCAGCCGAUACUUCAAAAUUGGGUACCAGACAAGAGGAAUUGCUGAAAAUAUGCCUCUGAUCGUAUGGUCCUGUGGUUGUUGACAACAUCAACAUUUUUUACUAUUGGUUUGAUACAUUAUUAUGAUAGAAUAAAUGUAUUAACACAUUUUGGAACAUUUCAGCCUGAGUUCACACCAUGGAAUCAGUAGGUAUUACGUCAUACGGAGUACUAAUUCUUACUAAUAAUUGUUAUAGUAUAUAUUUUGCUUACUAAAAUAUGAAUCUUUCUCUUUUCAUUCUGAAGUUGUGAGAUUCUUCAAAGAGACAUCUAAUCAAAAUAUUUUCCAGACUACUAUUGCACUACAUGCAACUAUCUGUAUAUUCAAAUGGAGAAUCUCUAGUAAUCAUUAACAAUGGUAUUGUAAUCAUAGAUUUAUUUAUUGAUGAAAUAAAUAAAUACUGAAUGAAUUACCUGUAGACUGUUGUAACAAGUACCUCAACCAAGUGUUACCACUGCCUGGAUACGAGACUAAAGCUGUGACCUUAGGUGAAGGAGGCACCCGCCAUUUAAGUUCCUUACACCAAUGCACCUGUGGUGUUUGCCGAUACCCGAAGUGAUUCAUAUAAUUGUUAACAUUAAUAUAAUACGAACUUUUUGCACCGUGCAGUGGACUCAACAUAAACAGAAUUAUCGAGAAAUACAACAUAACAACUGUCGCAGCCAGCAGGAAUACUGAUUUUCUUGACAUAGCUAAGGUUUUCUUAAUUCUUGUAUAAUAUAAAUAAACAUUUGAUUCAUGAAAUCUAGAUUUAAAACAUCGAUCUCAAAUAGGUGUGUACGCAUUGACUUAUUGGCACUGUUUUCACAGAAAUGUGUUCGUAAGAGUAUAAUUUUAUUUUAGAACACUAAAAAUAACUGUAGGUAUUAUUUAUUUAUGUUUUUGUAAGUACAAAAUAGAAAUAAAUACAAUGAAAAAUUCAACUU